rnacentral:lncRNA from 1 species
GCUUUUGCAGUUGCUUCUGCGGAAAGGUGGUAGUUAAGAAUUUGUAAAGGCCAGAGAACUACCUACGAUUCUCUCAGCGGGUAAUUGGCUGCUCCUAGUCUCUCUUCUCCUCAAGUUUGAAAUGCUUUAUCUCAUCGGGUUGGGCCUGGGAGAUGCCAAGGACAUCACAGUCAAGGGCCUGGAAGUUGUUAGACGCUGCAGUCGAGUGUAUCUGGAAGCCUACACCUCAGUCCUAACUGUAGGGAAGGAAGCCUUGGGAUAGAGAAGUUAACAAACUUGCCUAAGUUCAUGCAGAUAGUGAAUGAUAGAGCCAGGAGAUGAACCAAAGCAGUCCUGAGUUGAAGUCUGCCACUCUUUUUAUUAUUAUUAUUAUUUAUUAUGUUUUUUUAUUUUGAGACGGAGUCUUGCUAUGUUGCCUAGGCUGGAAUGCAGUGGUGCGAUCUCGGCCCCCUGCAACCUCUGCCUCUCGGGUUCAAGCAAUUCUUCUGUCACAGCCUUCUGAGUAGCUGGGAUUACAGGCGUGUGCCAUUGCGCCCGGCUAAUUUUUGUAUUUUUAGUAGGAUGAGAUUUCACCAUGUUGGCCAGGCUGGUCUCGAACUCCUGACCUCAGGUGAUCCACCUGCCUCGGCCUCCAAAGUGCUGUGAUUACAGGAAGAGUUUUAUGGAAGAAAAUUGGUUGUUGCUGAUAGAGAAGAAGUGGAACAAGAAGCAGAUAAUAUUUUAAAGGAUGCUGAUAUCAGUGAUGUUGCAUUCCUUGUGGUUGGUGAUCCAUUUGGGGCCACAACACACAGUGAUCUUGUUCUAAGAGCAACAAAGCUGGGAAUUCCUUAUAGAGUUAUUCACAAUGCCUCCAUAAUGAAUGCUGUAGGCUGCUGUGGUUUACAGUUAUAUAAGUUUGGAGAGACAGUUUCUAUUGUUUUUUGGACAGACACUUGGAGACCAGAAAGCUUCUUUGACAAAGUGAAGAAGAACAGACAAAAUGGCAUGCACACAUUAUGUUUACUAGACAUCAAAGUAAAGGAGCAGUCUUUGGAAAAUCUAAUCAAGGGAAGGAAGAUCUAUGAACCUCCACGGUAUAUGAGUGUAAACCAAGCAGCCCAGCAGCUUCUGGAGAUUGUUCAAAAUCAAAGAAUACGAGGAGAAGAACCAGCAGUUACCGAGGAGACACUUUGUGUUGGCUUAGCCAGGGUUGGAGCCGACGACCAGAAAAUUGCAGCAGGCACUUUAAGGCAAAUGUGCACUGUGGACUUGGGAGAACCAUUGCAUUCCUUGAUCAUCACAGGAGGCAGCAUACAUCCAAUGGAGAUGGAGAUGCUAAGUCUGUUUUCCAUACCAGAAAAUAGCUCAGAAUCUCAAAGCAUCAAUGGACUUUGAACAUAGAUAUUUACCAUUGUCUGAUGUAAAUUUCAGCCAUAUAUGGAUUGAUAUGGUUUGGAUGUAUCCCCACCCAAGUCUCAUCUUGAAUUUUAAUCCUCAUAAUUCCCAGGUGUUGUGGUAGGUAAUUGAAUCAUGGGGGCAGUUUCCCUCAUGCUAUUCUCAUGAUAGUGAGCUUUCAUGAGAUCUGAUGGUUUUAUAAGUGCCUGGCAUUUCCCCUACUGGCUCUCAUUCUCACUCUUGCCGCCCUGUGAAGAGGUGCCUUCCACCGUGAUUGUUAAGUUUCCUGAGGCCUUCCCAGCCAUGUGGAACUGUGAGUCGAAAAUUAAACCUCUUUUAUAAUUACCCAGUCUCGGGUAUUUCUUCAUAGCAGUGUGAGAAUGGAUUAAUACCUGGAUGCAUGCAUGUUUGUGUAACAAACAGGUCUUUUGGCUUAUCUAGUAAGUAUAAAACAAGUGACCAAAAAGAAGUUGACUCAACAAUGCUUGGUUUCUUGUGGCAGUGAGUUUUUUCCCUAUGAUAUCAUCAGUUGUUGCUGCUAUUUUGGCAAAUUUUCAGGAUGUACACAUAAAGCAGACCAGGCUGGAAAGCUUGUGGAUAGACAUCCACUGACAGAAUCAUUUAAGAGCAGUUUUUAUUUAUGAAACCAAUUUAUACAAGGUGGUUGUUAACAGAAUAUAACUUAGAGGUAACUGGAAUUUGAAUCACUUGAAUCUGUUUUAAAGGGUAAAAAAUGUUAUGAGUGCCAAGAAAAGCAAAUAAAAGAUUAGUAAAUGUUCACAAAA